rnacentral:lncRNA from 1 species
UUCUCUCCUGCCUGCAAAUAUGGCAUCAGGAAACAUAAACACCUACAAGAUAAAAGCAAAACCUAAUCCUAGAAAAACAAGCCUGACUAUUUACUCACCCAGAUCUAACUCUGGACUAGACCCAUGCAACUCACACCAGAGCCUACCAGCAGCUACUGCUGGUCAUGCUGCUAUGAGAACUGCCUUCACAGAGAGCCUAAAAAUCAGGCAGGAAAUCAGAUACAAAGAAGAACAUGGGGUAACAAGACAGUGACACUUUCCUGUAAGAAGACCAUAAAUCUUUAUACAAGGGGGCGGACUGGAGAACGUCAGGGGUUUCCAUGUGUGAGUGUUUAAAAUAAAACCUUAUUCAUGCUGGAGUGGGGAAGAAAAGAACUGGCAAGCUGGGAACACAAAAAGAGAAAAGGAGGAACCUUAAAAUAUGAGGAUUGACUGGGUCUUGAGCUCUGAAGGUGAGACUUGUGCAAUGAAUUCCCUUCACCACUCUUAGGAGUAGAGUUCACACAGUUAUCUGACACCACGCAACAUCCUCUCUUCUGCUGUAUGACUUAUCUGUCAGAUCCCAGUUUGCCUGAGGACAAGUAGGACAGAGGCUGUAGCACAGGGAUGAAACCUGGAAACAGCUCCUUCUGUGUGGGUCCCCGUCAUCCUUCUCUGCCAGACUACUUAGGCACAUGCCAAAUGUUACACCUACUUUGGGUCUUUCACACUCUUAGACUGGAUAAAUUUCAGAAGUCAGAAUGAACAUUAUGGAGAGUAGGUAGAUCCUCCCACACAAAUCGUCUGAUGGAGAAGAGAAUGGUGUCUUCUGCUUUCAGAGAAAGCAGCUGGAAUCAAGCCCAGAAAUUUUUUUGCAGCUACUAUAACUCAGCCACCCUGCACACAAACCUUUAGGCAUAAAAAUGAUACAGUAUUAAAAUGAAAGGGGUACAGCAAUUUCAGUUAAAAUUGCACUGGGUAUCAUAAUUUCACAUUUCUUAGCUAUGUGUGUGCUUCAGCUCUCAGCUAGAAUGUGCUAAUUGUAACUUUCCACAAUGAUGUUAAAAAGGAUUAAGCAAAACGGUAAUACAUACUAUCCUUCUCUCCAAAAGUGAGAACUGUAGUCCAGCUUUGGAACAGUCUGUGCUUCCCACUGGCUUUGUUGAGAAUUUUCUUUUGGAUUGAUGGGCAGUAUGCAGUUCUCAGAGCUUUCAGCUGGCCACUCCGACAGGUGUUGUGGUAUCACUGUUUCUUUAAUUCUUAUGUUCCCUGUUGCACUGCCAUAUCCAAGUGGACGUAUUUCAGUGGUGAGCAGGCAGAUUUGAAUAACAUCCUCGUGGACAGCAGGUUGACUCAGCAGUGUGCUCUUGUGGCCAGGGGGGCCAAUGGUAUCCUGGGGUGCAUUACAAAGUUUGCAGCCAGCAGGUUGAGGGAGGUUCUCCUCCCCCAUUCCUCUGCCCUGGAAGACCACAUUUGGAUCACUGUGUCCAGGUCUGGGCUCCUCAGUUCAAGAAAUACAGGGAACAUCUAGAGAGUCCAGUGGAUGCCCUGGAGGGCUUCCUUAUGGGGAAGGCUGAGAGACCUAAGGCUGUUCAGCCUGGAGAAAACUGAAAGGGAAUCUUAUGUAUACUUACAAGUAUCUAACAGGCUGGAGACAACUGAGUGGGGCCAGGUUCUUUUCAGUGGCACCCAGAAACAGGACAAGGGGCAAUGCACACAAACUGGAACAUAAAAAAUCUUUAUUUUAAGGGUAACAGAGCACUGGAACAGGCUGCCCAGAGAGGUGGCAGUCUCCUUCUCUGGAGAUAUUCAAAAUCUGUCUGGAUGCUUUCCUGCGUAGGGAACCUUCUUUAGCAGGGGGUUGAACAAGAUGAUCUCCAGAGGUCCUUUCCAACCCCUACAAUCCUCUAAUCCUGUGAUCCUCUGAAUAAAAAGUAGGCUAAGCUCGCCAUUGCUCUGUACUUUUUUGUAACUGGCUGUUGUCCUGCAAGGGGGGUAUGGAAAGCUGCCAAAUCCUAGUGGUUGCCUUUCACGCUUCUAUUGUACAGGUUAUUUCAGUAGUUACUGAAUAGUAAAGGCAAUGAAGCUAUCAGACACAUAUAUCAACUUACAAUUGCAUGUGUACUUUCAGAACCAGUUUAACAACAGCUUCUGUUUAUGCAUUUGUUGAAGGGUUCAGACUUACACACUGAAAGAAAAGGAAAUGCAGAACAGGCACCUGCAUUUGUUGUUACAAGUCACUGUGAUCCUGUUCACCACAGUGAUGCUACGUAAAUUUUUACAGAGCCUGUCCAGGAGCUGGUGGCUGGCAGAAUAGUAAGAAAUGGUUAUAUUGGGGCUAUCUAACAAACAGUGCUUUAGAGACAAAAGGCAAAAGGGCAGAGAAUCUUUAUGAAGGUGCUUCAUCAGCACUAUAUCAGUCUAUUGCUAUCUACAACCUGGGUGCCAGAAUGUUCUUAGUAAGCAUAUUUUUGCCUUUUUAGGGUGGUCAAAGAUCAUUUGCUCCUUAUGGUAACUUACUGAAAGAAAUCUAGAAGCACAGAAUACUAAAUUAUCAGAAUAGUAAAAAGUUAUGUAUUAUUUACAAGCACAGUGUGAGCUGUCAGGUCAGUUAAAUCAAUUAUUCACCAUUUGUUCAAUUUAGCUUUGUAUAAAUCUUCAUUUUCUCACUCAGCAAAUUCCAAAUUUACUACAAAGCCUUCUGCCAUGUCUGUAACGAGAACAGACUGAAAAGUAUAAAAAGGCAGACAGCUUACUAAAUUUAUAAGCAAUUGCUCAAAAAAUAAUGAUCAAUGUCUAUACUUUAUCUGGAGUAUGAUUUUUGAGCAUAAAUCAUACAUGAUAUAAAUAUAUAUACAUAUAAAAUUUACAUUUCAAGAUAGAAGGAUUCAAUUGUAUCCAAUUUUUGACUGUUAGGAAAAGUAAAAGAUUGAGACAUUUCUGUAAGAAAUUGAGUGACUGAGGAGGAAUGAGCAGAUUUAAGACCAGAAAGUACCAUUACAAUCUAUGACUGCUUGGAUCACAUGCAGCAUAAAACUUCAAACAGAAACAAUUGCAACAAAUCCAUGACUUCUGAUUGAACUAGACCAUUUGGAAGAGAUCCCUAAUUUGGCCAUACCUCGAUGUUUCAUAUCGAUGGAAGUACAUAUGUAGACCAAGGUCAAAAAUGAAAUAAAUGCUUAAUUGUGUGACUAGACAGCCAGCAAGCUAGAUUGAAAAUCUUAUCUCUUCCAUGAUGUACAAACUGAAAUGCAUUGCUAAGAAAAGUUUUUGGUAUUAGAGACUUAAGUGCAGCAUUGUUCAGGAAGCAUGGAAACUGUGAUCUUACCUACAUCAGCUAUAGGCACCUUGGCCUUGCCCAAGAAAAAGCCCUCAGCUAAGAAGUCAAGAACAAUCUCUUUUCUUCUCACACCUGGCCUUUCUUGACUGGGACUAUGUCACUGGAUUAGGAAAAAGAAACGUAUGCAUGAAAACAACUGAUUUAUUUGUUUAUUGAUUAAAAAUGAUCUUUCAUUAGCUGCACAAUGGGAGCCAGCCAUAUAUAACUUUAGAGUGUCCCACUUGUGAAGCAAAAUGAGUUGGCUCAAACUACGUGAAACUUGUCAGCUUUUUUUUUUUUCCCCAUUGCAGUGGGCAUUACCUAAUUGCUUUCUGUAGUAAUCAUUGUUUUAUUCACUGAAAUGUUAAUAAUGAAGCCUCUGGUGUAGCAAGUGAGAAUUUUCUCUCUAUACUUCUCUCCUGGUGCAUGCAAUUCAGUUAUAAGAAAAUAGUAAAUCAUACCAUCAUUUUACUUUCCAUGUCCAAAAUUUGAGGUGAACAGAAUUGAAGGUCCAGAUUCUGCAUUUUAUUUAACAUAGUGUAGGAUGCAGCUCUACCCCUAGCUCCUUCAGAAAAGCAUUUCCAGUUCUAUGCACAUUGAAUUAAGCUUACAUAGCAAAGAUGUCUUCACUGAGCCCAGCUGUCCUCAUGAACUGCCCUUGUCACUGUGUACUUUGAAGGUGAGUUGUAUUACUAGGAGUAGAAAUUGGAAGUGUGAUGGAAUUGAGCAGAAUAAUUAUAAUACGUGGGAGAUAUCUCCUGAACAGGGGGAAGUAUGGAUGGAAUCUGCGAGGCCUGAAUUCUAGCAUUUCACUCAUAUUUCAUUCUGAUAAAUCCAGUGGGUUAGAAAUAAAAAAAGAAAUAAGGCAAUCUAUGCAAUCUCCAGGGUUGCCAAGUAAAGGUAGCAUGAGUUCAUAUGAAGGAUGGAUAUACAUUUUCACAGUCCUUUCAUUUCUGACUAUCAUAAUUACUAUUGGUCUUCAAGGCAUCUUACCAUACAGAAUGAUAUUUUUUGAAGCAAGGGUGAUAUUGUUUCUCUGUACCGAAGUGUUAAGGGUUACCUAAAUAGAAGAGAGAGCUGUUCAGUCUGUCUGUAUCGAAUAGGUAGAUAGUGGAAUAGGUGAGAAAUAGGCUGGUUACUUUUAAGAAAAUUUGAGCAUAGGAGAAGAUUUAUGUGCUCCACAGCAAAAGAAUGGCUGGAGGUAAGUUGCAAAUUCCUGCACAUCCAGGGAUUUGUGAGACUGUCCUUGUAGUUGACUGGACCAAACUACAUCAAAUGAGACAAACAGUUCACUACUACAGAGCAGCCUGCUUUCAGUGUCACAGUUAUCAUCUUCCUGUGUGACGGACUGAGACACAAAUAACCAGUGCAAAUUACAUAUAGGCAUUUGGAAAAUACAGAUUAUUACAUAAUAGAUUGAGAGGGAAUGGUCACAAGUUGCAGCAGGGGAGGUUCAUGUUGGAUAUCAUGAAAAGCUUCUUGUCCAAAAGAGUGGUGAUGGAUUGGAAGAGGCUCCACAGAGAGGUGGUGGAGUCACUAAACCUGUAGGUGUUCACAAAAUGUGAAGAUGGGGCACUGAGGGACACAGUGACAAUAUUGGUGGUAGGUGGAGAGGUGGACUAUAUGGCCUCUUCCAGUCUUAAUGAUUCUGUGACUCUGUGUAAGUCCUGGACCUUUAAUUUCAAAGAAUGGUCUGGAGAGAUCUUUCAGAAUAAGUGUUGAAUAUUCAAAAUUAAUUGGAGCCCUUAUAUUUCCUAGAGGAGCUUGGUAUGGACAGAGGAUUUUAACUUAAAGCAUCACUUGUGUUCUAUAUCUUAUAAGGCUCUUAUUCCCAUUUCAGCAAUCUGUUUUUUUCUGUUCCUUUUGUUCCCUCAUCAACUGGACCAGAACACUAUCUCUAGGAAGAGUCUGCUCAGUUGCUUGAAGCAUGUACAUCCGUGUAGCCAAGGGAGAAACUGACCAAUAGCCUCAAUGGUGAUUAGAAGACAAUUGGUCCCUCAAACUUGUCUUCCAAAGUGAGAGCACCUGGCAGCUUCUGGCAGCUUUCUGUUCCUUCUCUGAAACAAUACAUGCCAUGAUGGUGGGAAAACGGGAUUCCAGCACAGCGCUUCUCAGAAAUAACAUGAUUGUGACUUCUUUAGUUCAAAGGUCUGAAGCAAUAUGGAAAAGAUGACCUACAUAAUGACCAAACCAAAACUUUGUCACUCUACAGUGGUUCCUCAAAUCCUGCUUUGACAUCAAGCAGCUUCAAUGCAGGUACCAAGAAGGGAGCAGAGAGGAAAGGAUAAUUGGGUCCGUGCUCCCAUUUGAAAGGGAGCUUAUGUUUUCCUGCAACUUUGAUGGAGAUUAAAUAUGUCUUGGCUACUUGGCUCUGACCACAUGAAAUACAGCAUCUAGAGAGACUUUGUGAGCAAGGGCUUGACAGGCAGACAUUUAAGAUCGUUGGUCAUCUUUGCAUCUUUUAAAGUAGAAGCGAUAUCUCAGUAAGGGAUGAUUUUACACUAUUAAAAAAAAUAAUUAAAAAAAAAAAGGAAAGGAAAGAAAAGGAAAGAAAAGAAAAGAAAAGGAAAGAAAAGGAAAGAAAAGAAAAGAAAAAAGAAAAGAAAAGAAAAGAAAAGAAAAGAAAAGAAAAGAAAAGAAAAGAAAAGAAAAGAAAAGAAAAGAAAAGAAAAGAAAAGAAAAGAAAAGAAAAGAAAAGAAAAGAAAAGAAAAGAAAAGAAAAGAAAAGAAAAGAAAAGAAAAGAAAAGAAAAGAAAAGAAAAGAAAGAAAAGAAAAGAAAAGAAAGAAAAGAAAAGAAAAAAAAGAAGAGUUAUAACAGAAGUAAAAGAUACAGCCCCAAGCCCUGAAUCAUCAGGAAAACCAAACAAACUAGACUUUCACUGUUUGUGGUCACUGCUGAACACUUACAGUACAGUGUAGGAAAUGGACCACUCUCUAAUAUAAUGUGUUGCCCCAAGACACAGAAUGCUGCUAAAUAUCCUGGACAUUCUUUCUCACUCUGAGCUCUCUACGGUCUCUAUUAAGGCAAGCUCAUUCUGUGGAGAAUGAGAUAUUUUUCCAUGAACCACCUCUCUUCUCUAAAGGAUCUUCUCAGGGCAACUGCUAAAUUGUCCUGCGAGGCUGAAUAUGCUCUGAUGUCAGAGCAUACCAGCUGAAGUGUUCAGCAACGUAAAAUAAGCUGGAGAUGCUAUACAAGAAGAGUAUGUUGGUACUAAUUUUUUCCAAGUAAACCCAUUCAGGAUAAAAAUAACUUCCUUUUCUCUCUCUCUCUCUUUUUUUUUUUUUUAAUAAUGUCAUAUUGCAUCAGCAGACUUACACAACACGUUAAAAAUCCCAGAGAAACAAUAUAUCAUACAUGAAGAGCUUCCUACCUAUUAGAUUCAUGCAGCAAAUGAAAUUCUAUGCAACUUCUUCCAGGAAAAUAGCUUGCGUACUCUGAAGCUAUAUCUAGGAUUUUUACAAACUGUUCUGCAUGAUUCACUCAGUGCUCGGUAGAUUAGAUGUUAUUGAAUUCACAUGAGUUCAUGUUAAAUAAAGUGAAACACAACAUCUGGGGCUACUCAUCACUCAAAGAUAUGACAUCCAUUGCCAAACACAAGAGUGAUUCAGUAAUGUUGUAAUUACCAAACUGGGUCAGUGGUGAAAUAGAAAGUGGGGACUGUUAUAACACCAAGUCCUUAGAUUAUCUGUGAUCAGAAGAAACAAACAAUCAGAGUUUGUGAUAUAUGGCAAGCACCAAUGAUCCCGGACUGUGCACAAGACUGGCAUUUCAUCCUGUAAAAUUUAAUUGUACAGAAAAAUGUAAGAUGGAACAGCCUUGUCCUACCUGUUACAGUGGACUGAAUGGCCUAUGCUGAAAGUGCCACUGAAAUUCAACACACACUGGGGAGACAAAGGAAACUGUGAGCACUAUAUCUGCUUCUUAUUUCUGACUCUAGUUUAAACUUCCAGUGAGUUCUUCCCAAAUGGCUGUUCAGAACUCUGUGUCUGUUCUGUGUUUUGCCAGGGCCAGGCAAAGGAACAGAAGCAAAGGAAAUGAACUAAAAAAAAACAAACAAGUAAAAAGCAAUCAUAUGUCAACUAAGACCCAGAAUAUGAGAUCAGUGUUUACUAAGCACAACUAGAACAAAGUAGAUAUCACACUAAGGGACAUGAUUUAGUGGACAUGGUGGCAAUAGGUUGAUGGUUGGACUGGAUGAUCUUAGUGGUCUUUCCAACCUCAAUGAUUCUGGCAUUCUAUGGAAAGUUGGGAGACUGCAGAUCCAGAUAAUUCAAGGCUGUGUUAUUCAUGGUAUGAUAGCCUGCACGUCAAAGGUCAAUCUCAAGCCUAUGCACCAUGCAAACUAGAAAUGCUGAUGUGCAUGAAGAGGAGACAGGGCUAUGUGACUAACGUGGUUUGGCUUAUUUAGACUUUCCUAGCCUGCAGGACCAGAAGCAGUUGGGGAGAAGAGAGUGGUCUUUGGCACGCAUCUACUACCAGACUCAAACUCAGAGUUUCCAUUCCAUAGGAAAACACCUCCACUGCUCAGUGCCCCACCCCCGGCAUGUGCAUACUCAUUCUUUGUUUUGAUAAGCAAAUCAGUGAGUGCUUUAAUGUACUAUACCUGGGGGAAUUUAACUCAGAAUUCUGUGCUCAGGUUCCAAGAGGAUGUAGUUAUUUUUUACACCAGUAAUUUGUGUUUUGUUCCUUUUCCAAAUAGGACAAAAAAAGUUAGAGGGUGGUUUUUUCCCUGGUUUCACUCCUAAAUCGCCAUUUAUACCCUGACAUCAGCUGACAUCAGUGGAAAUGUCAAAAAAUCUUCCUUUUGCAAGAUUUCAGAAACAAUGCAGAUAUAGAGAAAAUAAAAAUAAGGUAAGAAGGCACAGGAGUCACUGUCUUGCCCUUGCUCUUUUCCUCGAUACCACUCUAAUGAACAUCAAGUAGCCCUGCCUCACAGCCACCAAAGAAUGAACAUCUGGAUCCUCAUACUACAUUCACACCCUCUGCUCAGCUCCUAUCCAUCUGGAAGCAUCUAAAAGACAGUUUUGGCCUUAGUAUAAACAUCAAAUUUGCUUUUCUACAUAUGAAAAAGUACUUUUCUUUCAAGGGAACAGCAGCAAAGAGUAAUAACCAAAAUUAGAUAUUAGUUGUUUCUCACUUAAGAGGGCCUUGCUCUGAAAUCUGAACAGGUUUUGGGGAUGCUGAGCUAUGGGGCUGGUGAGUGUGAAAGAAGGUUCAAAGAAAUGGAGAGAUGAUUUCAAUAAAACCAGUCUUUCACAGUUGGGUGAAAAUAGCACAGCACCGUGGUUCAAAUCAGUAGUUGAUAACUGACAUUAACAGCCAUAUACCAAGUCACCCAGACCAAUUUUUCUUCCUCCCAAACUCUUUAUCUUAAUGUUCUUUAACUUACCUGCUGUUAUAGCAAAGACUUCUGCCAACUCUUUGCUCUGAUUUCCAGAUAUCUAAGAACACAGUGCUGAAGACGGGAGACUUCAGCAAGUUCUUCAGGCAAAAUUUGAGAAAUUUUAAUAGCAGAGGAGCUUAGGAGUGCAAAUGUCAACCUUUAUCUGUUACACCUUUCUAGGAGAGCUAUUUAUAAUGCACCUACCAACCCAGUUGGCACGAGUGAGGCAGGGCCAUGGGAUAGAAAUGGUCCACUUAGUGCUGAGGCUGGCACUUUGUGAGGCCACCUCGGGUCAGGGAAGAGAGAGAUGGAUCCUCCAUAAAUAGCAAAUGUCUCACAGCUUAAAAAUCGUGACAAGUCUUUCAUUUGAAACAACUGCAAGGAGGGUGCUGAGAAGACCGAAACUCCAAAUAUCCCUUGUUCAGCAAGCUGCCUGGCUGGGCUGAGAGCAUGUUGGAUCUUGCAGUCCUGGAGUCAAACAUGCUCCUCUGUUCACUCUUCCUUGAUUUUAUAGCUGCUUUUUAUAACAAGCACACAGGCACCUUACACCGCCGGGUGUGCACUGUAAUUAGAUUUUAGCUGCUGCUCCAAACUGCAGCUGGUAUUUUUAAAAAGCUGCAACGUUUUCCUUUCAGUUUUCACUACCCCUUGAGGCUACUUCUGGCAUUUUGGGGCAAAAAGAAAAGCAGAGCACCCAGAUGAAGCAUUUUUGAGUGUGUUUGUGUUUUUAUGGGAGAAGAGUGUUUGAACCACACCCCAGAAGGUUUUCACUAGAGCCAACCACCGUACUCAGAUAUGGAUUUAUAGGGCAGCAUCCAGCUCUCCUCCUGGGCCUGCUAAGACUCAUGUGUCAUAGAAUCACAGAAUCGUGGAAUGGCUUAGGUUGGAAGAGACCUUAAAGACAAUCGGUUCCACUGCCCUGCUGUGAGCAGGGCUGCCACCCAGCGGAUGAGGCUGCCCAGGGCCCCAUCCAGCCUGGCCUUGAAUGUCUUCAGGGAUGGGGAGAUGCCCCAAGCGCAAAAUGCACACAACCCAAUCCUCCUCCAGCAGCUACCACUGCCUCCUGGAAUCUCUGUGCCUCCUGCAUUGACUGCACAGCCCCUCUCUUUCUCAACCUCUGUCCACAACCUGGACCUGGGUAUCCCAGCAUGUGGGCUAUCUGAUCGGCCCUACUUCAGCCAUGGGCUCAGCUGUCCUGGCCUGGCCCCACCAGUGCUACAGUGAUUUAUUUACUUUUUCCUCCUCUGAGUGGCCACAUGCCCAUCAGUGAGCCCCUUCUUGUCAUCUGACCACAGAUAGCACUGACCGUGCAUCAAAGGGGAGGUCUGUAUUCGGUUGCAGAUGACAGCUAGCAAUCAGCUUUUUCCAUGUGUGCUGUUACUUAUACCACUUCAUUCAGGCCAGCAUUUGGCCAUUUUUAUCAACUCCAUCACUGCUAGCAUGAGACACAGACAUUACAGGCUCAGCAAAGGUGUGUGAGGCCCUCCAAGCUCGUUGAACUAAGGAUCACAUUCCAAACACUGUGCAGAUUUAGGGCCAUCAGAUCUGACCUCCUGAGUGAUGCAAGACAUUGACAUCCAUGUGGGCAUUCCUACAUUCAGCACUUGUCUGUCUGUGCAAGAUGGCAAACAGGGAACUGUAUGGAUCAGAUAGUUGAUCAUGAGGAGGUACCAGCACUGCAGAAAACAGGGCGAUUCACUGCUCCCAUCGCACCCAAUUCUGCCCUCUGAGACAGCAGCUAACUGAGUUUAAUGCCCUUGGAUUUAAGCAGCUGACAUAGGACCCAGCCCCCAGCCUUCAGAGUUCAAGGGGGAAUUCAGGAUGGCUCCUUCGUGAUCCUGCUUUUGGCAGUCACUUCUGAUAGAGUGGAGGAUGGCAGCAGAUGAAGAAGCAAGGGGCAAGCUGGACUGGUGCCCAGGGGCAAAGGAGUGCAUUCCUUAUGUUGUUAUAAGCACAAAUGGUAAUUACAAGAUAAUUUGGGUUGGAUUUCAAACAGCACUAAAGCCCCUUUCUGCCACUUUGGAGACAGAAGAUGACCUAGCUAAGUGGACAGAAAAAUCCCGUAAGGAGAUGGCCAUGGCAAGAGUGUGAGCAAGGAAGAAUAUGCUGACCCUCUCAAUGCCUUUCUAAAGGGCAGGGUCAAGAUAAAUAUAUCCAAGACCUGCUGGCUGCUGCUAUCAGCCCACAGCAAGGCAGGUUUGCUGUGUGGUCUGGGAGAACAGGUUGAGCUGCGGUCACCACUGAGCAAAAGGUGACAACUGCAGAUAAGGAGAGGGGCUGGGGGUCCUGCCCAGCACAGUCUUUCUCUGGCAGGAUGCAGUGACCUCAGAUAGAGCUGAUGUCGAGCAGUUUUGCUCCUAGCUCCCAUUGGGAUGGGAAAGCCUGGAGGCAGGCUGGGGCUGGAGGAAGCUGCAGCUGCAGCCCAGAGUGUUCUGGCUAAUCUCUUCUCAAAGCCGCUGAGAUCUGGACAGCCCCAGGCUGCCUAAGAGCAAGGGGAAGAGGAAAGGUUACAGAAAGGCCUGUGUGUCCUCUUCCUUCUUUCUUGCCUGGAGCAUGCAAGACUGAUUUGGGUCUGCUGGAUUUUUACAACCAGGGUGUGUUUCCACAGGACAAAUUGUGACUCUCAGCUCUGUAGGACAAUUUAGAAGAAAAUCAGUCCUUCCUUGCCCCUGCUUGCCACAGUAGAGGGGUCUGUGUGUCAGGACCCCCCACCUGACAAAAGGCCAGGCGCUGAAGGUGAUGGAGGCAGACGUGGGCAACCCACCCCGACGUUUCGGGGAUGCCAUGCUUCAAAACCUGCUACGCCUGUUGGCUCUUUUGUUUCGUGACAUUUAACACUGAGCGUUUACAAUCCAGAGCAAUUAUCUUUUCCUUCUGCUUUUAAGGAGGACUUUGGCAAAGGAAAACACUUAACUUUUGUCUCUUUUAUUUCUCCCCACCCCUGCCUCCCGCCUGGCUGCCGGUGGGAAGGAGGGAGGAGGGCGGAUGCCCCGGCGGUCUCUCGGCGGGGACAUGCUGCCAUCCAGCGGCUGCGGCCACGCGGCCCCGAGGAUGUGGAUGUCCCGGAGCACCGCGCCCCGCGCUGCCCCCUGGGGGCGGAGGAUGCUUCGAGGAGUGGUGUUGGGGUCCGACGCCCCCGGCUGAUCCAGCCCCCCUGCCCCACUGCUCUUGUAGCCCUUCAGCAAAAAUGUUCAUGGAAGAGAGAGUCACUUACAGCCAUUCAUGCAAUUAUGGUGGCUUGGAGGAAACAGAUGAUUUGACAUGGAGUAGAUUUGCAGCCAAGACCCCAUUGCAAGCAGGACCUGAGUUCUUUGGAAGAGUCAUGAGCUGGGGGUGAUUGCCCUGUGAAGAGAGUAAAGAGUUCCCCAGCAAUCUGCAUUCAACCUUUGAAGUACUUUGGAAGCUGUGUAUAGAAGAUACCAGGGCAAUUUUGUGAACUGGAAAUGUAAAUUAGCAGAGCCGAACCUUCCUUAUUAAUGCUUCAAAAGACAUCAAAUCCCCUAACAAAGGACAGUCAGUACAGAGCAGGGCUCUCUCAUUGAUCGACUUGUCAUUUUUCUAUCUCAGCAUCACACAGGAGUGGGGAAUACAGGUGCUUUCGGGAGAAAUCCCCCAGCUCACAAAUCUGCCUUCUGUCCAGAAAGUAGGUCUCAUUGGUGCAUAAUAAACGUGACAGCCUGGUAACUAUUGAGGUGAGAGAGCACAGAUCCAUUCUGGUUCAGCACACUUGUGCAGCUACCAAAGACGGCACCAGGUUUCUAUGUGAGAUUACAACCCCAUAAUUCCAACAGAAUCACAUCAAACCCUCUCAAGGGGACAAAAAGUUUGCACAACUACAAGUUCAGUUGGACCAAGCUCAAUGGAGGGACUGGGUGACAUGAUCCCCCAAAGCUGGCUGGCAGUUCCCUGGCUCUGAAGCAAAUGAGAUGAUGCUGCAGACUGCUUUCCUAGCUACUUAAAGAUAAAAAGUACUUUAGAAUAGAGAAUAAUCCUCCAAAUCCUUAACUGAGUUACGAUUCUAGAGAAAGGAACAGAUCGUAUUUAUGAGAUGAAGAAUUACCUUGUCGUGUUCACAUCUUUUAAACCUCUGGUAUGAAAUAUUCACUCUUCUGAAGCCAAUCAAUGUUUCAGUGCCAAAGGAAGUGGGUGCAGGCUUUCAGGCACAGAAUAUCAAUGGCAAGUUAUGUGGUUGUACAAGUGAGAGCCAAAGAUCCUUUACUUUCUCUUGAGUUCAAAAGAGAAUAUGCAUCUAAUAUUGGAUGUUAGUAAUAGCGAGCAUCUUGUACAAGGUGAAUUUCACCUUAGCUGAAGAAGGGAAGAAGCAGGAUUAUAACUUUCAAAAUCUUCAGGAAGUGAAACGUGUUCAGUAUAUGCUGCUCUAAGGUUGUUAUUACUAUUUCCUACAUUCAGGAAACCAUCAAGUUUACAAUAGGAGCAAAUUCUCGGAUUGUCAGUUUAAAUUUUAAGUUUGAGGUUGCUAUUCAAUUUCAGGGUACCACUAUCUCAAGCCAGAGAUCUAAGCAUCAGAGAGCAAAAUCAAAUGGAGUAAGAGUAGAUUUAGCAGAACACUACAUUAUGGACUAAGGAGUCAAACAUAUGCAAACCUUUCGUCCUUACUAAGAAACUGCCUCACACCAUCCACCUGGGGGAUUGUCUUCAAGACCUAUCCUCUCCGCUGCCAGGGUGGGAGAAGCUGUGCCAAUGGUGCAAGAAGGACCAAACACUGGACCACAGGCUGGAUGAAUUCCUUUUGUCUUGAACAUGGUACCAAGCAGACAUGCUGCCAGCUAGCAGUGUUGGAAGUCUUUGUUAGAGAAAGAGAGGGCACUCUAUUGUACAUGUUUAGGAACAGCGGUGUUACACAUUAAGAAUCAAAACAAAAUUUGCUUACACUAUUGUGAAAAAGGGUCUGUCUACAGUGGUCUCCAAUUUUAGAUUUGAUUUUCAGUCCACAUUCCUGACUUCAGUCCUCAUCAGUCAGUUUUGCCCCAGACUCUUGCAUUAUGAAGACUAAUUUACAUAUCCAAAUAAAUAGCUCUCAAAGGAGAAAUUCAGGCUGACAUAAUGUAACUCAUCCUCAUCCUUUUAGAGCUAUUUUUGCAUAAAAAAAAGAUUAGCAAACAAAACCAAGGAGGUAAAGAAAGAAAUGUCAUGGAACCUCUGGGAUUUUUGAGAGACUACUCAACUAUCCUGUACAAUCAUGAAGAUGGGGUUGUGGGGAGGGAGAUUUCCCAGUUGACACGUUUCUCCACUUGUGAACAUGUUGAAAGAUCACUCAUAUGUUUUCAAUGAAGUCACUGACAGUCAAGAAUGCUGGAGGCAACAGCUGUUGGGGAUUGAUUUACCCCAAGGCUAUUUAAUCUCUCAGCCUCUCAUAAGGAUGCUUGCUAGGGGGAAGGUAAAGAAGCACAACUAAAAAUUGUAUUGCUUUCAGCAGCUGUUGUUAUUCCUGAAAGCCAAGAAAGGGUCAAAAAUAUGUGAUGAAAGUCUUGGAUUGUUAUCAGCUAUAGGGGUGGCCAAAGCUUACUGCUUCCUUUGGGAGUAAAGUUUCCUUUGUGGAAUGAAAUACAGUAAAAUUACUAACUCCCUUAGGCUUAGUUGCCUGGGAGUUACCAUGAAGUGUAUAUGUGCCUUGGAAUUUCCAGAAUUAUAAGUAUAUUAUGUCAGUCGGAAUGAUACAGGUUGUGAAAGGCAGCCGUUGUGUUCAGUAACAGGAGCUGAGACAAUCGGGUAGCAAGAAAAGAUAACAUAAAACAUUCAUUAAAAUGGUGGAAAAAAAAAGGACUGAAAAGCAGAGUGCAGCUGCUGUUAUGUGUCAGUUACUAUUUCAGAAUGGUCUCCUUCUGUGAAACACUGGACUUUUAUGAAAUCAUAUUGUCCAACCAUGCAUUAGACCCCUGAAGUGUAAGGUAUUUGCCUACCUCGCUGAAAAUAAGAUACAUGCAUCUCCCAGCAGAGAUUCUUUUUGUAACCAUGCAUUUUUCACUCUUGGCUAGCAGAACUUUUCAGAGAGAAUUAGCAUGGAUUGCAUUUUCACUUGGGAAGGAAGCAAAAGUUGCAGUUCUGUUUCACCUAGGAUUUCAUGGCUGUGAAUAUGGGUGAUGCCUUGUGGCUUUAAGAGUGCAUAAUCAGCCACUGAACUUAUGUCUUUUCCCUAAAGCAAUCCAAGAUUUUUGUGACCAUGCCCCAUUCUGAACAUUAGCAGUGUACAGCCUUACAUCUCUCUCAUCCCUCCCAAAUCCAUGGAGUGGCUCACUCAGGAUGUGUCUACACCAGGGCUUUCCUUGGCUCAAUAAUACACUUCUGAAGCAAAUCUCUCAUUAUCCCCACUUACCGUGUUUUGUAUCCCAUCAUGGAUCUGUUUAGGAAAGCCAGAUUUGUUCCAGAUCAAAAUGAAAGUGGAAAGUGUUCUCCAGGACCAUACCUCAUGUAUUGCAUCACAAAGGGCUCCAUGAAAAACUCCAGGCAAUGAGAGAAUGGGCCUGAAAGUCACAGCUAUCCUGGAAAUGGCUAUGUUCAGAGGAGGAUGAGUAUUCUUCAGGGCAGUGCUGUCUCCUUACACUAGCUGAGUUCUCAAGAGCAACACACAAGUCUGCAAUGACCAAAAAAAAAUAAAAAUAAAAAAAUUGAACACAGCAAACUUUGCUGAAUGUGGACCUAAAAACUCUUUAAAUAUUCUUUAGAUGCUGAAAAAAAAAAAUGGCAAAGCUAAAGAAAAGAUAAUGCUGAAAAAUAAGUAGCGUGUUUGUUCAUAAAAAGUAUCUUUACACAAUUAACGGAAUCACAGUAUCAAAGAAUUGUAAAGGCUGGAAAAGGGACCUCUGGUGACGAUCAAGUCCAGGUCUCAUCACAGCACCUUGGGAUUAUUGCUUAGUCCUGAGGAUGCCCAGAACUUGGUGCAUAGCUAAAGUUCAUCCAACAAAUUAAAAACCUUUGGCUCUGAGAAAAAUGGAAAAGAGAAAUUUUGGGCAAGUGCUUUGGGACUACAAGGAAAGAAUAAUCAAAUUACUGAAAAUCCCUGUCCCACAAGUACUUACAAAAACAGAAUAGUAAUUUUUCUUGUGACUUUUCAGCACUUCUCCCUCUGGGAUAAAGUGAAGAUGGGAAAGAGGAAAAAUGUAGAAAUUAAGACAAAUUAAUUAUGAACUGUGUCUGACAGAAUUCAAUAACUGUUUUUCUGCUGACUAUACCAAAGUUUGGAUUGGGCAGUUUUGGUCUUCAGAACAUUCGAUAUCUACACAGUAGUCUGACUAGACAGAUUCCCAAUUCCUGUUUUUAUACACCUGCCAAGCUGACAGGCAUUCUAUGAUGGAAUAUGCAAGUCUUGUAACACAAUGCACUUACCCAACAAAAAGUGUCAUGAAAAGAUUAUUUGAUUUUCUAACAGCAGUCUUAAACCACAAAAUAAACCAAACCAAAACAAAGCUCAAAGCUUAUGAAUUAUUCCUUAAAAAUCAAAACAUAUUAAAAAAACACAACCACCUUCCUCCCACCAAGAGACAAGGUAACGGUGGAAAAGCAGAAUAAUGAAAGCAUUUGAUACUUACACGUCUUUCACCCUAUGGCACUCUAACACUGUAUGCUUGUACUCACCAAGCUGAAGUGUAACCACACCUGGGCCAUGGAUAGUCCUUCUCCUCAGAGGAACACCUGUACAAUUAUCUGUGUUCUUCUUGGUAGUAGCAUCAGAUACAAAAGGGGCCUUGCAAGGACCUGACUGAAGUUCCCACUAAUCUCACCAGGUGUACACCCCAGCUUUUUCAUAGGGACAAUCCCCAAUCACUGAAGGAAAAGGGAUUUGUUCAACUCAAGCUUCAAUGCUUAUAGAAGCAUUCAACAAAAAUCCAUCCAUGCAGGUCUUUAAGAUCUUCUUUCUCCUGUAAAUUUGAUUCUCUUUCAAUAUUUUGACUUCCAGGCAUCUUGAGAGGCCCUAGUGCAGGCUCCCUUCCCAUCUUGUAAAAAAAAGGGAAGAGAUUAUGCUAUUUUCAGCCACCAGAUAAAUAAACUUCUACAGUUUACUUGAAGUGUAUUAUUUUUUUAAACCCAAAAUUGUCAUUUCUGCUUAUUUAGGAAAGUGUUCUUAGUUCUUCUGCAGAUCUCCUAGGCUAUGACACUGUGUAUUCAAAGACAAACCUUGCUACAGGAAACCUUUUAAAUCAACAGAUAAUAAAGUGCCAGUGCAGGCACUGAAGCUAUGGAGAUGCUGUCAUAGAAUCAGUCGUAGAAUCGUUUGACUUGGAAGAGACCCUUAAAGGCCAUCUAGUCCACCUCCCCUGCAAUGAACAGGGACACCUACAGCUAGAGGAGGUGCUCAGAGCCCCAUCCAGCCUGACCUUGAAUGUCUCCAGGGAUGGGACAUCUACCACAUCUCUGGGCAACCUGUUCCAGUGCUUCAACAUCCUUACUGUAACAUAUUUCUUCCUUAUAUCCAAAUCCAAAUCUCCCCUCUUUUAGUCUGAAACCAUUUCCCCUUGUCCUAUCACAACAGACCUUCUUAUAGAGUUUGUCCCCUUCUUUCUUAUAACCUCUCCUGAGGUCAUAAAACCUCUGAACCUUUCUUCAUAAAAAGUGGUUCAUAAAACCACUGAAACCUUUCUUCAUCUCACCUAGCCAAGCUCCAAGACACUUCUCCUUUUUUUUUUUUAAAUGUUAGAGUUUCGUUUUGAGUAAAUCAGAUUCUGUUACUGUCUUACUACACAGAUGCAUGGACACCAAUACAGGCAGUAGAGAGGAAGUCAGUGGAAGCAUUUUUAAAAAAGAAAAUAUAUAUUAAAAAAAAAAAACAAAAAAACGUUGACUUACAUUGAUUUAAAGUGAUUUAAAGAUUUAAAGGCUCAGUGUAAAGCUCACAUAGAAUAGCAAAGUCCCAAUGACAGCAAGUAGCAGUGUGUAGGCUUAGCAAAUGACCCAUCAUAUCGUGAAAUAUUUCAGUUUGUUUUCUCUGAGUUCAUAGAGCUUUGUCAAGAUAUAGCUACAGCAGAUGCCAUUAUAAAUAUCUGAGUUCAAGAUGUUACAAAGCAGAUAAAGAACAUACUUCUCAGACCUUUUUCUUUUCAUAGACAUAUAUUUUUUUUAAACCAUCGUUCUUCAGUAGGACUGUCAUAAUUAGUUCUAAAGCCUGUGGAAAAAUAUAACUCAAUUUCACACAAAGAGUCAGGAUCAAGGCGUAAUCUGUGAGAUCUCUGGUCAUUUUAAAGCUUUCUCAUAAUACAGCCUCUUUCACACUGUUGAUGGAAGUCUUGGGACAAGAAGACAGUUGCUUCUGUCUUGUUCUUGGGUGUGAAAAUCAGUAGGAGAAUGUGAAAGGCUUAGAACAUACCAUCCCAGAGAACUGAGUCUCAGCUUGCAAAGGAGACUCCAGUUAGGCAAUGACAAAUUCCUUCCUCUCAUUAGAGACACGUUCCUCAGCAUCAGGGGCCUUCCCUGGAAUGUGGCUUUCAGCUCCAAGGUCAUUCUAAUGAUGGAAAAAGAACCCAAGAGAUCAUGACGGUCUAAAGCAAAAGCUUGUGAAGCAGCUUUCGCAGACUCUCCAAGCCACGUGUGAAGGAAUGAGCAGCAGCAUGCCUGGGGACACUGAGACGCUGCAAGCUGUGUUCCUGCAGAGCAUGGAGAGGUCAUCUCCCGAGGCAAGGCAUGGAGAGGGUGAUAAGAAACCACCCACAUCACCUGCUGCUUCAAAAUCAGUGUCUGUGCAGAAGGAUGUUCUUCACAAAGAAAUAACAAAUUUUUGUGUCCCUUUCCAUAAAUGUUUUUUUUUCCAGAGUGCCUGUGAAUGAAGAUAUGGUCCCUGCUCAGAAAAUCUGACCCAAAUACUCUUCUCCUAAAUGGCACAACUACUGUGAAAGCCAAUUACUGCACCGUGGGUUCUUCAGAUCCGUAGCUUCUCAAAAUUAAUAUAAGUGCUGGAAAAGAUACCGGAAAAAAGAUCAGUUAUGGAUAAUCUGAGUCUUGAUGUGCUUCCCUGGGAUUUACAGUUAACCUCUGAUCCAAUUAAAGGCUGUGGAGGGACUAUACACAAAAGUAGUGCUGUAGUUCCUUUCCCUUGUAUUUUACAUCCCCAAUGAAUAUUCUGUAUCUACAGGCACCACAAAUGACAAUUCAGAGAGUCAGUUAGAAGUCUCAGCAAAAUUCCUGGUGUCUUGGCACAGGACCUCCUAAUGGGGGUCAUUCAGAGGGAAACCUGCUGAGGGUGACUGGGAAGAAGGAGUCAUUGCCUCUGAGGGAGCCUUCUGUCCACAUCUCAGGACUUGUGACACUGCUUCAGAAAGAAAGCUUAAGUUGUUAGAGCAGAGAAAAUCUUCAUUACGGUACCCCACCCUCAGGCAUGUGAAAGACAAGCAGCUCAGCACCUUCCAGAGUCAGGCCCAUAAAGAUGAGAGGCUCUGGAACUUGAGGGACAGGUAAGUGAGGAUGUGGUGGAAGGUCCACCCAGGAGGUUAUCUAGGGCAAGGAGGCUGACUCCACAUCCCAAGACUGCAUCUGACAAGAAGACAAUCACUGUGGGCAACUCCCUUCUGAGAGGAACGGACAGCCCCAUAUACUGGCCAGACCUUACUCAUAGGGAAGUGUACUGCCUCCCUGGGUGAGGGUCAGGGAUGUUACUAGAAGGCUCCCUAGUAUGGUUCACCCUCUGUUUAUUAUCCCUUAUUGGUACUUCAGGCUGGCAGUGAUGAAGUCACUGAGAGAAGCUUGAGAGCUAUCAAAAGGAACUUCAGGUGGCUGGGGCAGUUUGUGGACAGAGAGGAAGUACAGUUGGUUUUUCUCUGUCCCUUCAGUGGCAGGGAGGAACACUGAGAGGACCAGGAAAUCCCAUCUGAUAAAUACAUGGCUGAGAGGCUGGUGCUGCUGUAGGAAUUUUGGCUUUUUUGAUCAUAGGGCCGUUUACUCAGCACCUGGCUACAAAUGAGGUCCACCUAGGUCAAUGGGGGAAAGGAAUUCUGGCCCAGGAGCUGUUUGGGCUUGUUGACAGGGCUUUAAACUAGGUUUGAAGGGGGAAGGGAGUGAUACCGAGCCUGCCCAUGACAAGGUGUGGGAUAGCAUAUCUAAGUUAAAGGGACAAGAUGCUAGUAGGGGCCCUCAAUCUGUUGCAUUUUAUAAUGAAUAUACUAGGCAUCGAGCUGUCAGGGCUCAUCACCAUGGCUUUAAAAUAGAUUUGAUGGUGGAAGAGGAUGUAGUGCCAAGGAACAAAGAGUCAGGGAACAUUGUCACUUUAAGAAGCAGAGGAGAAAACCUCAGAUUUGUCCCAGGGGUUUUUGGGAGGGCUCCUCCAAGAAGAUAAUGUGGCCAAAAGCCCAACUGAAGUGCCUCUAUGCCAAUGCACGCAGAAUGGGAAAUAAGCAGGAGGAAUUGGAAACUGUGACGUAAUUGGAAAACUAUGAUCUUACUGCUAUCACAGAAACAUGGUGGGAUGACUCACAUCUGAAACACUGAAACACCAUGAUUGAGGGUUAUAGGCUUUUUAGAAGGGAUAGGCAAGAUAGGAGAGGUGGGGAAGUUGCUCUGUAUAUUAAGAAGUAGAUAGACUGCAAAAAGCUGCCGCUGGGAAACAGUUAUGAAGAGGCUGAGAGCUUGUGAGUUAAAAAAAUUAGGGACUGGACCAAUAAAGGGCAUCUGGUGAUGGGGUCUACUCCAAGCUACCUGAUAAAGUGAGGCUGUUGACAAGGCCUUCUUACUUCAGCUGCAAGAGACAUUGCGCUCACAGGCUUUCAUCCUAAUGAAGGAUUUCAACCGCUCAGAUAUCUGCUGGGAAAACAACAGGGCAGCCUGCAAGCAGUCCUGGAAACUCCUGAAGUCCACUGAUGACAAUUUUCUGGUUCACAUAUUGGACAGACACAGCAGAGGUGAAGCACUUCUGGACCUGGUGCUCACCAACGCAGAAGAGAUCAUAAAAGAAGUUACAAUCAGAGGCAGCCUGAGCUGCAGCAACUAUGCCCUGGUUGAGUUUGUGAUCUCAAGGAAUGUGGAAGCAGUGAUGGGUGGCCUGGGAAAAUAUAGGGAUGCUGUCUGGAUGUGCAAGGAUGGAGUCUGGAAAACUGAGGCGCAAAUGGAAUUGGAUUUGGUCAGGGAUGUGAAAAACAACAAGGGAUGCAAACAAGACAAAAUAGAGGGGUCAGCGUUCUGCACAGUGACUCACUCCAGUGCUAUUACAGAAAAGGAUGUUUUAAUGUGCUGCUUCCCAUCCAAACUUCAUGAAAUGGGAAGCCUCCCAGAACUCUUCCAGAAGCCCAGCUGGAACUCCCCACUAUGAAAAACACUUCAACGUGAAUUAGAAAGUUUGCAAGAAAACCAUUACAAAACAGUACCAUCCUUGGCUAUACUAUGCGGUACUUCCCACAUAUUAGGAUCUCCAAAGAAUGUCAUUUUUGCCUUGAAAAAGUAUCCCAAGCUAUUCCCAUCUGCAAGGACAAUCUCUUUACUCCACUCUCAGAAUUUCUGAUGUCCCAGCUAUACCAGAGAUUACACCACGGACAUUGUGACAAGUUAAAAACCUGAAGUACUACGUCAUCUGAUGGUACAUGAGUGCUUCCUCCUGUGCCUGACUUUACUUUGGACCUGGGAACAAGAGCUAAGACAAAGCAUGGAUUUUCUGUCUGAGUGUUUGCAGACGCUUCUAUUACAUGAUCACAUUAUAGCGCUGUUGAAAACUGCUGUCAGCCCGUUAAAUAACACCGGACAGGUACUUAGGAUCUUCCAUUACCACAAUAAUGACAUAUCUCCCAAGUUUUGAAACAUCGGCUCAAGUUGCUCCCAGCUGUUCCACCGCAGCUCGUUUUCCUGCCAAUCACCACAUGGUGGUGGUGUAUCACCAUGAGUUCAGUGUUCGGGUCUGACUCCUGAGAGCUGAAUAGUUGGUUUAAGAAAGCUGGAUAUUUACAGCACAGCACAUUUACAAGGAUGCUUGUAGAGUGAACCCUCUAAAUCCAGUUUACCUUUGAAUUUAUAUGCAUUGCUUAACUGCUUUGCAUAGAGAACUGUCUGGCUUUCCAGUCAGGAAUCUCCCAGAGUAUUUCAAGCAACAUAUUUAUAACUCCAGGUGCAUCCACAUGCAGAAGGAUUUGAAGUCACAUGUGAUUUAUUUGUCCAUCUGCUUCAUCUCAACCUAUUUUGUUUCAUUUUGUUCUUGUUCUUGUUUUGUUUUGCUUUAAUAAUCCUUUGAUACUUAAUCAUCCAUUUCCUAUGGAAAAAAAAAAAAAAAAGUGCUCCCAAGAAUUCCAAUAGAGUCCAGGAAGGCUGAAUGCCUACUCUUCUGAAUUUGCUCCUAAAAGUCUUCUUCUGCAAAGCGUUUCAGCCACCCUUCACCAAAGUCAGGCAAUAAAAAGAAGGUGUACUGCAUUGCCAUUGUGUUUUUCAGCCCAUUCACAUUAUAGACCUUAAAUUAGCUAUUAUAUGUCCUUAGCUGAAUGUGGACAGUGACAGCCCAAUCGAAGACAGAGUGAAGUCAAUGGGAACCUUUCAGUUCUCCCUCAUUUGGCCCUGAAUCAAGUUCAAAGUUGUCUGAUUCAAGAAACAGAUCUUCUGUGUUUUUACAAAGAUGAUUUUUCUCCAGUAUGGAUAUAGGUUACAAAAAAAUUCCAUUAGGGCUUUGUGCACAAAAGAAGCUAUAUGUAACAAUGACAGCAUGUCUCAAACCAACAGAGAGAUUAGCUCUACUUUAAUUGGUUUGAAACAAGGGCACAUCAUCAACAGGGACGGGAGAACUGGCUUGGACUUAAUGAGAAAUGCAUCAUUUCCCACUCACAAACUUACUGCAGACUUACCCUGAACUUUCUAAAUCAAAACUGUUUUAAUAAACUUUUUUGUUGCAUUGC